GUUCUUGUGGUGUAGUGGUUAUCACAUCCGCCUAACACGCGGAAGGUCCCAGGUUCGAUCCCUGGCGAGAACA
rnacentral:tRNA from 1 species